AACGUACGCUGGCGGCACGCCUAACACAUGCAAGUCGAACGAAGUAGCAAUACUUAGUGGCAGACGGGUGAGUAACAUGUAGGUAUCUACCCUUUGGCCUGGAAUAACACGAGGAAACUUGUGCUAAUACCGGAUAAGUCUUUACGGAGAAAGCUUUAUGCACCAUUGGAUGAGCCUGCACUUGAUUAGUUUGUUGGUAGGGUAAUGGCCUACCAAGACUGUGAUCAAUAGCUGAUUUGAGAGGAUGAUCAGCCACAUUGGGACUGAGACACGGCCCAAACUCCUACGGGAGGCAGCAGUGGGGAAUCUUGCACAAUGGAGGAAACUCUGAUGCAGCGAUGCCGCGUGAGUGAAGAAGGCCUUUGGGUUGUAAAGCUCUUUCGUCGGGGAAGAAAAUGACUGUACCCGAAUAAGAAGGUCCGGCUAACUUCGUGCCAGCAGCCGCGGUAAUACGAAGGGACCUAGCGUAGUUCGGAAUUACUGGGCUUAAAGAGUUCGUAGGUGGUUGAAAAAGUUGGUGGUGAAAUCCCAGAGCUUAACUCUGGAACUGCCAUCAAAACUUUUUAGCUAGAGUAUGAUAGAGGAAAGCAGAAUUUCUAGUGUAGAGGUGAAAUUCGUAGAUAUUAGAAAGAAUACCAAUUGCGAAGGCAGCUUUCUGGAUCAUUACUGACACUGAGGAACGAAAGCAUGGGUAGCGAAGAGGAUUAGAUACCCUCGUAGUCCAUGCCGUAAACGAUGUGUGUUAGACGUUGGAAAUUUAUUUUCAGUGUCGCAGCGAAAGCGAUAAACACACCGCCUGGGGAGUACGACCGCAAGGUUA
rnacentral:rRNA from 1 species